AGCAGCCCUCUGUCACAUGCCGGGGAGCUUUGGAAGGGUCCCUCUGAAACUUGUUGGGAUUGAUUUUGCUGCCUGUGCUGGGUUAUUACUGCCAAACCCUGGACAACCGCUCCCAAGGAACACAUCCGUCCGGUGGAGUUCAAUCUUUGGAGACUUAAAGUGCUCACUCAAAUGCACUGAACAAGAGGAAUGCUUCAGCUCCAAUCAGCUCCUGUCUUCUUUGGAAACGCUGGCCUUGAGGCUCUACCUAAUGAUUGCAACCUGUGAUCCCAGUUCGUGCUGCAUAAAUGACUAAAGAAGCUCGUGGAUCUCAGUUUUUCCAUGAUUUGGACAAAGCAAAUAAAUAAG